UGGUUAACCACAUACUGUGACCUCCGGCC
rnacentral:piRNA from 1 species